rnacentral:tRNA from 1 species
AUGGCGUGUUCGGGCACGGAGUUCGGUACCACGUACAAGCCGAGGGUAACGCUCUCGGCCGUCGGUUCCGCUCCGACACGCUGUGC